ensembl:lncRNA
GGCCUGAGGACGGAGCUGGGCCUGAGGACGGAGGUGGGCCUGAGGACGGAGGUGGGCCUGAGGACGGAGCUGGGCCUGAGGACGGAGCUGGGCCUGAGGACGGAGCUGGGCCUGAGGAGGGAGGCCAGACGCUAUCGGGUGCGGCGGUAAAUAGGAGCUCACGAUGGUGAAGAAAACCCUGAUGAUUAACACAUUCCAGUUCUGUGAGUCACUGCUUUCUGGAUCGGAGCAAUUGUGACCGAAACGCUCUCCUCCGGCCAUGAAUCUGAACACAGAGGCUGAAGACAAGAGCCAAUGAAUUUGGCUCUGAAAACAGGAGCUCUUGAUUGGUCAAAGCCCGUCGAUGUGCACACAUGAUGUGGGGGCCUAAUCCAGGUCUGCAUGGGGGGGCCUCUCCUUUACACACACUGUAUGAUGAUGGAGACAAUUACAAUUAAUCAUUUAGCAGACGCUUUUAUCCAAAGCGACUUACAUCGGUUAAUACACACAUUGACACACCGACGGCAGAGUCAACCAUGCCAGGCGACAGCCAGCUCGUCAGGAGCAGUUAGGGUUAAGUGUCUUGCUCAGGGACACAUCAACACCUAGCUAGGAAGAGCUGGGGAUGGAACUAGCAACCUUUCGGUUAACAAGACAACUGCUCUACCUCCUGAGCUAAGCCGACCCUGCUGAGCUAAGCCGAGACAUGGCCAUUCUUACAUUUACCUUCAGGGCAUUCAGCAGACACUGUCAUCCAAAGCAACUUCAAAUAAGUCCAUUUGUCAGAAGAAGGAGAAACAACAAUAUAUCUCUGUCGGUACAGUGAGGAUGUUCAUAGAACCAAGUGCCGAGCACUAACAAUCGCUAGGUUAACCCAUUCCCCGUAUAGUACAAAGAUAGCUAGGUUAAGAGGCUACACGAUGAUAAGUAUACUGUUUUUAUGUGCAAGGACGUACAACACACAAUAAGUGUGUACAUGAAGUGCCAGGACCUACAACACCACCAAGUAAGUGUGUACAUACUUCUAAUGGAUUUUGCGGUUGAACUAAAUAAACAAUCCAAAUUCAAAGGGGACAGAACUGAAUUUUCCUCCAGGAAACAGGUGGAAUAUUAUUGGCGGCAGAAAUAUGA